rnacentral:rRNA from 1 species
ACAGGGAUUCCCCUAGUAACGGCGAGUGAAGCGGGAACAGCUCAAAUUUGAAAUCUGGCCCUCGGGUCCGAAUUGUAAUUUGUAGAGGAUGCUUUUGGUGAGGUACUUUCCGAGUUCCCUGGAACGGGACGCCUUAGAGGGUGAGAGCCCCGUACGGUUGGAUACCAAGCCUUUGUAAAGCUCCUUCGACGAGUCGAGUAGUUUGGGAAUGCUGCUCUAAAUGGGAGGUAAAUUUCUUCUAAAGCUAAAUACCGGCCAGAGACCGAUAGCGCACAAGUAGAGUGAUCGAAAGAUGAAAAGCACUUUGAAAAGAGGGUUAAAUAGCACGUGAAAUUGUUGAAAGGGAAGCGUUUAUGACCAGACUUUUUCCAGGCGGAUCAUCCGGUGUUCUCACCGGUGCACUUCGUCUGGUUGAGGCCAGCAUCGGUUUUCGUAGAGGGAUAAAAGCGGUAGGAAUGUGACUCCUUCGGGAGUGUUAUAGCCUGCCGUAUAAUACCUCUAUGGGGACCGAGGUUCGCGCUCUGCAAGGAUGCUGGCGUAAUGGUCAUCAACGACCCGUCUUGAAACACGGACCAAGGAGUCGAACAUUUGUGCGAGUGUUUGGGUGUUAAACCCUCACGCGUAAUGAAAGUGAACGGAGGUGAGAGCCCUUACGGGUGCAUCAUCGACCGAUCCUGAUGUUUUCGGAUGGAUUUGAGUAAGAGCAUAACUGUUCGGACCCGAAAGAUGGUGAACUAUGCGUGGAUAGGGUGAAGCCAGAGGAAACUCUGGUGGAGGCUCGCAGCGGUUCUGACGUGCAAAUCGAUCGUCAAAUCUGCGCAUGGGGGCGAAAGACUAAUCGAACCAUCUAGUAGCUGGUUACCGCCGAAGUUUCCCUCAGGAUAGCAGUGUUGUCUUCAGUUUUAUGAGGUAAAGCGAAUGAUUAGGGACUCGGGGGCGCUUUUUAGCCUUCAUCCAUUCUCAAACUUUAAAUAUGUAAGAAGCCCUUGUUACUUAAUUGAACGUGGGCAUUCGAAUGUACCAACACUAGUGGGCCAUUUUUGGUAAGCA